AGAGAGUGCAGGCGGUUUUCUAAGUCUGAUGUGAAAGCUUCGGCUUAACCGGAGAAGUGCAUCGGAAACUGGAUAACUUGAGUGCAGAAGAGGGUAGUGGAACUCCAUGUGUAGCGGUGGAAUGCGUAGAUAUAUGGAAGAACACCAGUGGCGAAGGCGGCUACCUGGUCUGCAACUGACGCUGAGACUCGAAAGCAUGGGUAGCGAACAGGAUUAGAUACCCUGGUAGUCCAUGCCGUAAACGAUGAGUGCUAGGUGUUGGAGGGUUUCCGCCCUUCAGUGCCGGAGCUAACGCAUUAAGCACUCCGCCUGGGGAGUACGACCGCAAGGUUGAAACUCAAAGGAAUUGACGGGGGCCCGCACAAGCGGUGGAGCAUGUGGUUUAAUUCGAAGCUACGCGAAGAACCUUACCAGGUCUUGACAUCUUGCGCCAACCCUAGAGAUAGGGCGUUUCCUUCGGGAACGCAAUGACAGGUGGUGCAUGGUCGUCGUCAGCUCGUGUCGUGAGAUGUUGGGUUAAGUCCCGCAACGAGCGCAACCCUUGUUACUAGUUGCCAGCAUUAAGUUGGGCACUCUAGUGAGACUGCCGGUGACAAACCGGAGGAAGGUGGGGACGACGUCAGAUCAUCAUGCCCCUUAUGACCUGGGCUACACACGUGCUACAAUGGACGGUACAACGAGUCGCGAACUCGCGAGGGCAAGCAAAUCUCUUAAAACCGUUCUCAGUUCGGACUGCAGGCUGCAACUCGCCUGCACGAAGUCGGAAUCGCUAGUAAUCGCGGAUCAGCAUGCCGCGGUGAAUACGUUCCCGGGCCUUGUACACACCGCCCGUCACACCAUGAGAGUUUGUAACACCCAAAGUCGGUAGGGUAUCCUUUUAGGAGCAGGACGCCGCAGGUGAUCAGAGUUUUG
rnacentral:rRNA from 1 species